UUUGACCUCCUGAGUUGAAUGGUACUAGUUUUAGAACGGGAAACCUUAGAAACGACGUUUAAAACCCGAGGUCCGAUUUGAGUACUGUUCAUGCAUUCGUGAUGUGUUGAUUUUCAGGGAAUUCUAAGCUUAUAGUGAGCUUAGUGAGGUCCUAAGGAAGCUCGGAGUACUUAGUUUGAAGGUUUUGGACGUCGGGAUCGUUGAGUUCGAAGUUGGCCGGUUUUCUUGGAAUUUCUCCGGUGAGAUUUCGUAGUUUUAGAGCCUUAAAGUAGUGUAACAUGAUUCUACAUGCUUAGGGCUUCAUUUUGAUAUAAAACACAUGAAAAAUGGUUGAGAAAUGACGGAGAACAAGGAGAUUGAAAAAUCUCCAGUUUUCCGGCCAUCGGAAAAACCAGUCCGGCGAGCCCAAGGUAGGAGACACGCGUGGGGGCGCGUGACAAGCCCAAAAAUUAUUUUAAAAAUAUGCCGACGUUCGUGACGUCGAGUAGGUCACUAUGGUAUAUUCAUAUACCCAAAUUGAGCAUCGUAUGAGAAAUUAUUACGAAUUGUCGGUUAUGUGCUUUAAAUAACGUUGUUUUAGUUGUUUCGCAUAUAAGUGAUACCUAUCCUGAGGACGAGCGCAUCCAGGGACGUCACGGGGGUUACGACCCUUCGAUUUAUCAGUGAGUGGGCAGUAUUUUCUGUAUUUACCUAUAUACUAUUGAUUUUCCCAUAAAUUGAAUUUAAAUGAAAGUAUGUUUUAAAAUGCCAUGCAUGCAUAUUGUGAUUUAUAUGAAUUGAUAAUUGAUACAUAUAUAUAUGUGAUUGGUGCUGUGGACGCACAAGUGAGUAUCAGGUGGGUUUUAUGUUAUUCAUGUGAAUCAUUGAUGAUGUGAAUUGUGUUGAGAGCUCAUAACCUGCACCUCUAGUGUUAGUGUUUAUAUUAUUCACCCGUACCGCACGCCACCUUGGAUCCAAGUAGGUGCAUGUCGUACAGACCAUGAGAGGGUUCCGACAUGCUAGUCGUACAGAUCACUAGAGGUGGUUCCGACUGGUAGGUGACCUUAGAUUAUGUGCACAUAUGAUUGAUGAGAGAAGCACUAGAGCGUAUUAUUACACCAUUCUUGUCGUACAGACUACUUCAAGUAGUUCCAACUUAUGUGCAGAGUAGCGUCGUAUAGGUAAUCGUGGUGACUCCGGUUGGAUUGGAUAUUGAGUUAUAGAAUUAACAGUACAGAACCAACUGCAGGGUCUCCGGUUGAUUCAUUAUAUCACACCUGUUAUAUUGAUGCAUCCAUAUUCUGUUUUUGGCACUAUUGCAUGGCAUACUUGCUGGAAUUUGAUAAAGAUUGAUGUUUUGAGAGAUAUGAACAAAUAUUAUGCUAUUAUGUUAUUUUCUGGGAAAGUAUACAGGUUUUACAGUGAGGGGUUAAAAAUGUUUUAAAUGAAAUGUUUUGGAAAACUUUGGUUUUACUGACCCGCUCAAUUUUGUUUUGCGCCCCUCCAGGUUCUAGAUAGCAGUGUUGGUGGCCCACGAGGAUUCCCACGGCGUACUGACAAACUACAUAAAUGUAGGACUCACCUGCGGGUGUUGUAACUUAGUUAUGGUCCUGCUUGACUGCACCUAG
rnacentral:lncRNA from 1 species